rnacentral:rRNA from 1 species
AGUGGACGCUGGCGGUAGGCCUAACACAUGCAAGUCGAACGGCAGCACAGUAAGAGCUUGCUCUUACGGGUGGCGAGUGGCGGACGGGUGAGGAAUACAUCGGAAUCUACUUUUUCGUGGGGGAUAACGUAGGGAAGCUUACGCUAAUACCGCAUACGACCUACGGGUGAAAGCAGGGGAUCUUCGGACCUUGCGCGAUUGAAUGAGCCGAUGUCGGAUUAGCUAGUUGGCGGGGUAAAGGCCCACCAAGGCGACGAUCCGUAGCUGGUCUGAGAGGAUGAUCAGCCACACUGGAACUGAGACACGGUCCAGACUCCUACGGGAGGCAGCAGUGGGGAAUAUUGGACAAUGGGCGCAAGCCUGAUCCAGCCAUACCGCAUGGGUGAAGAAGGCCUUCGGGUUGUAAAGCCCUUUUGUUGGGAAAGAAAAGCAGCAGGUUAAUACCCCGCUGUUCUGACGGUACCCAAAGAAUAAGCACCGGCUAACUUCGUG